UCCCUUAGUAGCGGCGAGCGAACAGGGAAGAGCCCAGCGCCGAAUUCCGCGUCUCAAAGGGCGUUUGGAACAUGUGGCGUUUAGGAGGAAUCUCUCCGAGGGCAGACGGUGUCGCAAGUCCCCCUGAACGGGGCUGUGAUCCAGAGCGGGUGCGAGGCCCAUAGCUGGUACCGUCUCCUUUGGGUGUCCCCUCCUUGGAGUCGGGUUGCUUGGGAGUGCAGCCCUAAUUGGGUGGUAAACUCCACCUAAGGCUAAAUACGUCCGUGAGACCGAUAGCAAACAAGUACCGUGAGGGAAAGUUGCAAAGAACUUUGAAGAGAGAGUUCAAGAGUACGUGAAACCGCUCAGAGGCAAACGGGUGGGCCCACGAAAGCCGAAGGCGGGGGGAUUCAGUCGAGAGGACGGUGGGGCAGGACUGGCUGGUUGGACGGACCGUGCCAGGCCGGGUCAGUUCCCGAGAUCUGCCGCCUUUCGACGCAUUUCCCCCUGCUUAGUAGGACGCCGCAACCGGUUGGCGCUGCAGCCAUAAGGGAGAGUAAAUGGAAGGUAGCCAGUGAGUUCUUCUUCGGAGGCGCGAGCUGGUCCUAAGCCGACUCUCCUGGUGCUUGUGGCCCGACCGUGGUCGUGAGUCCCUCAACGGGAUGUCGCCGAGCCCUCUGACUGGAGCGGGAGAAGUGGCAGGCUGCUUUCCGCGGAAAAAAUCGAUCGCUUCACGCGUGCAGUGGGCGAUCUCCGGAGGUAGCUGCUGGUGCGUUUUUCUCCUGCGCUGGGCACAGGCAGUUGGCGGCGAGUAGGUCGGUCACCCACCCGACCCGUCUUGAAACACGGACCAAGGAGUCUAACAUGUGCGCGAGUCAUUGGGUCUUGAACAAGCCCAAAGGCGCAAUGAAAGUGAAGACCAGCACUGAAGCUGGUGGAGUUGGGAAACUGUGUCACUGAAGAUGCAGUUGCACCAACGGCCCGUCCCGUCCGCAUCGUCGGUGGGGCGGAGCGAGAGCGUACACGUUGGGACCCGAAAGAUGGUGAACUAUGCCUGGGCAGGACGAAGCCAGAGGAAACUCUGGUGGAGGUCCG
rnacentral:rRNA from 4 species